rnacentral:tRNA from 1 species
AAGGGAGACCUAAUUCAGGUAUAAGAUGAAAAAAAAGUAGUCCCUACCAAGAAUCAAUCCCAAAAGGUCGGAACGAGGUAUGAGGCUUUCAAACUAGGUUCUGGGUUCAUAAAAGACCUGAAUCAGGAACAAGGGCUAUUAGCUCAGGUGGUUAGAGCGCACCCCUGAUAAGGGUGAGGUCCCUGGUUCGAGUCCAGGAUGGCCCACCUGCACAGGUGGCAAAAACAAGAGAAGCGAGGAAUCAGCACCUUAUCUUAUAUACAUAUAUAAGAGAGAAUGCUGGCUCUGAGUACAGAGUCCAGAGGAACCUUGAAAACUGCAUAGAGCUAGGUGAAAAAGCCAAAAAAGAAGACCGCAA